UGGAAGCGUGGACUUCCGCGUAAAGGGAAAGGCGACUCCUUGGGAGCGUUUCCUAGUUGAGAGGAGGAAGCGGGGUGGGGGAUGGGAGAAGAACCCAGCACGUGUUUUUGCUUAAUCUCUUCCUUUUAUCUAAACAGAUUAAACACACAAACUUCGCUCCCGCCCCGCAGCGCGCUCUUCACUGCUUUCUAUUCGAUCCUGUCUUCUCCAGUGGAAAACAUAUGGCCUACUGUACUGUUAGAAGUGAAACAGGUUCUACAGCACCCAUCAAGUCAUUGCUUCAUCCCUAGUAGGUGCUGAGACAAAAAAAGGAGAACCUUCAGAAUAAAUUACAUGCCACCUGAUGACAAUGUAGGGG